GCCCCUCUAGCUCAUGCUUGGUUAGAGCAGUGGACUCAUAAUCCAUUGGUGCGCGGUUCGACUCCGCGGGGGGGCACCA
rnacentral:tRNA from 1 species